CCUACGGGAGGCAGCAGUAGGGAAUCUUCCACAAUGGGCGAAAGCCUGAUGGAGCAACGCCGCGUGGGUGAAGAAGGUCUUCGGAUCGUAAAACCCUGUUGUUAGAGAAGAAAGUGCGUGAGAGUAACUGUUCACGUUUCGACGGUAUCUAACCAGAAAGCCAUGGCUAACUACGUGCCAGCAGCCGCGGUAAUACGUAGGUGGCAAGCGUUAUCCGGAUUUAUUGGGCGUAAAGGGAACGCAGGCGGUCUUUUAAGUCUGAUGUGAAAGCCUUCGGCUUAACCGGAGUAGUGCAUUGGAAACUGGGAGACUUGAGUGCAGAAGAGGAGAGUGGAACUCCAAGUGUAGCGGUGAAAUGCGUAGAUAUAAGGAAGAACACCAGUGGCGAAAGCGGCUUUCUGGUCUGUAACUGACGCUGAGGUUCGAAAGCGUGGGUAGCAAACAGGAUUAGAUACCCCUGUAGUC
rnacentral:rRNA from 1 species